rnacentral:rRNA from 1 species
UGGGGAAUUUUGGACAAUGGGCGCAAGCCUGAUCCAGCCAUGCCGCGUGCGGGAAGAAGGCCUUCGGGUUGUAAACCGCUUUUGUCAGGGAAGAAAUCUUCUGAGUUAAUACCUCGGGGAGGAUGACGGUACCUGAAGAAUAAGCACCGGCUAACUACGUGCCAGCAGCCGCGGUAAUCGUAGGGUGCAAGCGUUAAUCGGAAUUACUGGGCGUAAAGCGUGCGCAGGCGGUUUUGUAAGACAGAGGUGAAAUCCCCGGGCUCAACCUGGGAACUGCCUUUGUGACUGCAAGGCUUGAGUGCGGCAGAGGGGGAUGGAAUUCCGCGUGUAGCAGUGAAAUGCGUAGAUAUGCGGAGGAACACCGUGGCGAAGGCAAUCCCCUGGGCCUGCACUGACGCUCAUGCACGAAAGCGUGGGGAGCAAACAGGAUUAGAUCCCUGGUAGUCCACGCCCUAAAACGAUGUCAACUGGUUGUUGGGAAGGUUCCUUCUCAGUAACGUAGCUAACGCGUGAAGUUGACCGCCUGGGGAGUACGGCCGCAAGGUUGAAACUUAAAUGAAUUGACGGGG